rnacentral:rRNA from 1 species
UACAGAGGGGGCAAGCGUUGUUCGGAUUUACUGGGCGUAAAGGGCGCGUAGGCGGCCACGACAAGUCAGUUGUGAAAUCUCUGGGCUUAACUCAGAGCGGUCAACUGAUACUGUCGGGCUAGAGUGCAGAAGGGGCAACUGGAAUUCUCGGUGUAGCGGUGAAAUGCGUAGAUAUCGAGAGGAACACCUGCGGCGAAGGCGGGUUGCUGGGCUGACACUGACGCUGAGGCGCGAAAGCUAGGGGAGCGAACGGG